AGGCGGGGUGAAAUUAGGACUCCGCCCCCUUUACCCAGGCCCGCUGCAAGCGGGCUGCGGGCGCCACCGUUGGAGCGUGCUGGCCUGGGAGCAGGAGCCUAUGCACCGCGCGGAGCAAACUUAAGAGGGACCCUUGCUACCUACCCGACUCAGACCCUAGAGGCCCUGGCAUCCCUGUGGAGGCCUCCUGAGAGGCGGCUUGGAGCUGGCAUCCGCCACCGAUGGGGCCGGGAGUGUUUUACUUCCUUAAGGUCUCUACAGCAGAACCCUGUGUGAUGCUCACCAGGGGCGCUCUGGUUGUGCCAAGGGUCCGGGCAAGGUCUCCCGGUUGCAUUUAGGGUCUUGCCUCUGGGGGGUCUGCUCCCAGAGGCGCGCCUGAGCCUGUCAGCCCUUGCUCACACUACACGGAAGCUGCACGGUUGCUCGCGGCCGGCUGGUGGCGGGGCGGGCAGGCACUAAUUAAGCACGUUGGCAACGGAGGGAGCUCUCACCCUGGCUCUGCGCAGCGCGAGGACUCCUGGGCGCGCGUUUCCCCUUUGCGGACUGCUGGAUGGAGCUGAGUCCCUCAAGAUAUUUCCCCGGUUCUCGACAAUGGAUCGUUUCGUGGCGAAGGCAGAUCCUGUCAAGCGCGCGGGGCUUCCUUGGGUUCCCCUGCCUGAUCUUCAAAUUCCAUGGUCUAGACGUCCUUCCGGAACUGCUGACAGCACCGGGCCAAGGAGCAAAGGAGGGCAUUGUUACAUAGGCCAUUAAAAAUCAGUUCACCCGGAGGAGCUCUGGUUGGGGAGUUGGCCCCUGUUGGACGUGUGUUAUGUAUCACAAGCACAUUUAAUUGGGAGAUAAAGAUAAAUCGAUCUUUAUGAA